rnacentral:rRNA from 1 species
CCCGCUCCCGGUAAAACGGGACGGCCCGCCAGAGGACCCCUAAACUCUGUUUCUAUAUGUAACUUCUGAGUAAAACCAUAAAUAAAUCAAAACUUUCAACAACGGAUCUCUUGGUUCUGGCAUCGAUGAAGAACGCAGCAAAAUGCGAUAAGUAAUGUGAAUUGCAGAAUUCAGUGAAUCAUCGAAUCUUUGAACGCACAUUGCGCCCGCCAGUAUUCUGGCGGGCAUGCCUGUUCGAGCGUCAUUUCAACCCUCAAGCACAGCUUGGUGUUGGGACUCGCGUUAAUUCGCGUUCCUCAAAUUGAUUGGCGGUCACGUCGAGCUUCCAUAGCGUAGUAGUAAAACCCUCGUUACUGGUAAUCGUCGCGGCCACGCCGUUAAACCCCAACUUCUGAAUGUUGACCUCGGAUCAGGUAGGAAUACCCGCUGAACUUAAGCAUAU